rnacentral:misc_RNA from 1 species
UUUCCGUAGGUGAACCUGCGGAAGGAUCAUUAAUGAGUUGUCAUGGGGUUCGAUGCUGGCAGCCAAUUUUUGGAUGCAUGUGCUUGCCCUAACAAUCAUCUUCCAAACACCUGUGCACAUUUUUGAGGGAGUCUUGAGUUGGUUGCCGCUCUUGGGUGAUUUUCUCACAUUCCCUUAAAUCAUUAUACGCUAUUAACAAUGUUGAACGUGCUCUGUGCCGCAAGGCUAUUAAUAUAAUACAACUUUUAACAACGGAUCUCUUGGCUCUCGCAUCGAUAAAGAACGCAGC